UGAACCAUAACAGAUUCAGUUGCUGUAUACCUGUGAUAUACUCUGGGAUCUCCUCUGCUAGCUCUUACUCCUGAAUAAUGCAGAUGAUUGAUGCUUGCCUGCUUUGGGGUGCUGCAAGAUGUUAGACUGCCUGAGAUCACGUAAUAUCUAUGAUGCUGAAGGAAAGGCCACAGUUGUCUUUACCCUGCAAUGAGUUUCAUCAAGAGAGCAGAGGAGACUUUACUAAAUAUCCUGGAUCAUGUCGUAAGGGACACAACACAUCAGCAAUAACAAGGCAUGGUAACAAUACGUCUGAGGGCUACAAAGAUGCAUUCGCUUAUGCUUCCCUCCUGUCUGCGUGUUCACUUAGACCACCUUGCCUGGCUUUCCAACUGGCAUUUUAUGUCCUGAUCAUUGAUCAGUGGAGACUGCUCAAUUUGUUCAUUAUGGUUCUGCAGAUAACUAUAUUGUUCCCUGGGACAACUGUACAUCUAUCCAUUGGAAAUCAGUGGCAUGCUGAGGAUUUUCCAUUUUUGAAGAUGUUGGAGGUAGGCUACAGUAUUACAGAUUAGAUUUUGGAGUACUGCAUAGACUUUUUUGCAAAGCAAGUUUGGCAGCAUUUGAUUCAAAGAGUUAUUGAUUUGUAUCCAUAGCCGAAGUUGCCUUUCACUAGCUCUCUGCCAUUAGUAAAGGCUGCACUUCUUGUCCUUUAUGGAUGUAAGACUUGUUUAGGUCUUGGUUCUCUUUUGCUAUUUUAUGUCAAACAGGUCUGCUUCUAGACCUUUUUUUCCAUUUAUUAGAAAAAACACUGGCAGGAAAAGUACUAUGCCUGUGAAUAACACUCCAUUAAGUUUAACUUACCAAGUUGAGUGAGUUAACCCAGAUUCUCACAUUUCUAAGAGCUCUGUCAAAAUCCAGUGCAGAUGUUGCAGCUAAGGGAUGACAAUAAGUAGAAAUUUGAACAAAUGAGUAAAUUGUUGGUAUUUUCACACAAUCUGGUAUUUUUUCAGAAGUAAUGAUUUGGAUCUAUGUCUCGUAGAUAUUGUAAAGAUAUACACCUACAAAGAUUUUUUGUUAAGUAAGCUCAUUUCUGUUUCAAGCCAUAGAGGGAUAGGUUUGCUAUGAUGCCUCCCUCCUUCAUCUUGUCUUGCACUGAAUAAUUUGUGGGAAUUAAGAAAAAGCAUUUAGCCCCAGUGCCUGGCAUACCUUG